GACGAACGCUGGCGGCGUGCUUAACACAUGCCAAGUCGAACGAAGUGCGAUGGAAGCUUGCUUCUAUCAAUCUUAGUGGCGAACGGGUGAGUAACGCGUAAUCAACCUGCCCUUCAGAGGGGGACAACAGUUGGAAACGACUGCUUAAUACCGCAUACGAUCUGACCUCGGCAUCGAGGAUAGAUGAAAGGUGGCCUCUACAUGUAAGCUAUCACUGAAGGAGGGGAUUGCGUCUGAUUAGCUAGUUGGAGGGGUAACGGCCCACCAAGGCGAUGAUCAGUAGCCGGUCUGAGAGGAUGAACGGCCACAUUGGGACUGAGACACGGCCCAGACUCCUACGGGAGGCAGCAGUGGGGAAUCUUCCGCAAUGGACGAAAGUCUGACGGAGCAACGCCGCGUGAGUGAUGACGGCCUUCGGGUUGUAAAGCUCUGUUAAUCGGGACGAAAGGCCUUCUUGCGAAUAGUGAGAAGGAUUGACGGUACCGGAAUAG
rnacentral:rRNA from 1 species